rnacentral:rRNA from 1 species
UACGGGACGCAGCAGUGGGGAAUAUUGCACAAUGGGCGCAAGCCUGAUGCAGCCAUGCCGCGUGUAUGAAGAAGGCCUUCGGGUUGUAAAGUACUUUCAGUCGUGAGGAAGGUGUUAAGGUUAAUAACCUUAGCAAUUGACGUUAGCGACAGAAGAAGCACCGGCUAACUCCGUGCCAGCAGCCGCGGUAAUACGGAGGGUGCGAGCGUUAAUCGGAAUUACUGGGCGUAAAGGGCACGCAGGCGGUUAAUUAAGUUGGAUGUGAAAUCCCCGGGCUUAACCUGGGAAUGGCAUUCAAGACUGGUUAGCUAGAGUCUUGUAGAGGGGGUAGAAUUCCAUGUGUAGCGGUGAAAUGCGUAGAGAUGUGGAGGAAUACCGGUGGCGAAGGCGGCCCCUGGACAAAGGCUGACGCUCAUGUGCGAAAGCGUGGGGAGCAAAC